UGAACGCUGGCGGCAUGCUUUACACAUGCAAGUCGAACGGUAACAGGCCUUCGGGUGCUGACGAGUGGCGAACGGGUGAGUAAUGCAUCGGAACGUGUCCUCUCGUGGGGGAUAACCAGUCGAAAGAUUGGCUAAUACCGCAUGAGCUCGAGAGAGGAAAGCGGGGGACCGAAAGGCCUCGCGCGAGAGGAGCGGCCGAUGCCGGAUUAGCUAGUUGGCGGGGUAAUGGCCCACCAAGGCGACGAUCCGUAGCUGGUCUGAGAGGACGACCAGCCACACUGGGACUGAGACACGGCCCAGACUCCUACGGGAGGCAGCAGUGGGGAAUUUUGGACAAUGGGCGCAAGCCUGAUCCAGCCAUGCCGCGUGUGUGAAGAAGGCCUCGGUUGUAAGACACUUCGGUACGGAACGAAACGUACGCGCGGGCGGAACGUAUCCCGCCGUGGAGUGACGGUACCGGUAACGAAGAACGACACCGGCGUAACUACGUGCCACGCGAGCC
rnacentral:rRNA from 1 species